rnacentral:rRNA from 1 species
AUUGAACGCUGGCGGCAGGCCUUACACAUGCAAGUCGAACGGCAGCACGGGGGCUUGCACCUGAUGCCGCGUGGCAAGCGGGUGUGUAAUACAUCAGAACAUGUCCUGUAGUGGGGGAUAGCCCGGCGACAGCCGCAUUAAUCCCGCAUACGAUCUACGGAUAAAAGGGGGGGACUUGCGGCCCUCGCUCUAUAGUGUUGGCCGAUGGCAGAUUAGCUAGUUGGUGGGGUAAAGGCCUACCAAGGCGACGAUCAGUAGCUGGUCUGAGAGGAAGACCAGCCACACUGGAACUGAGACACGGCCCAGACUCCUACGGGAGGCAGCAGUGGGGAAUUUUGGACAAUGGGCGAAAGCCUGAUCCAGCAAUGCCGCGUGUGUGAAGAAGGCCUUCGGAUUGUAAAGCACUUUUGUCUGGAAAGAAAGCCAGGGAGUUAAUACCGUCGGGGGAUGACGGUACCAGAAGAAUAAGCACCGGCUAACUACGUG